rnacentral:rRNA from 1 species
UACGUAGGGUGCAAGCGUUGUCCGGAAUUAUUGGGCGUAAAGAGCUCGUAGGCGGUUUGUCGCGUCUGCUGUGAAAAUCCAGGGCUUAACCCUGGACCUGCAGUGGGUACGGGCAGACUGGAGUGCGGUAGGGGAGAUCGGAAUUCCUGGUGUAGCGGUGAAAUGCGCAGAUAUCAGGAGGAACACCGGUGGCGAAGGCGGCUCACUGGACCGGAACUGACGCUGAGGCGCGAAAGCGUGGGGAGCAAACAGG